AUCAGAGCCCUAGGUUCAUAUGGUCGGACCUAGAGUGUCGGGCUCAUAGAAGUUAUAGAAGGUCAAGCACAAUAGGCAAAAAUCAUGUCCACUAGGAUAGGAUGUAGUGUCCUGUCUUGCUAUGAUUGUAUGAUAUGCUAUGUGUGUAAUGUAGCUGUGAGGUUCAUGCUUGCCGACGUGAACCAUUUAAUGCUAAUGUUAUGUGAUGUUUACUGUUCUCAGAAAACAGGAUGAGAGGAACCCGUCGAUCUGCACGAUUGACUGGAAUACCACCUCAAGACGAGGGCACUGAUGCCCGUCCUUCAACAUUGCCUAGGGUAAUGUCAAGUAGGUCCAGCAGGGACCGAGCAGUGAGAGACCCUAGAAGGUCUUUAGAUCUGGGAAGAAGCAGAUCAGUCAGAGGAACAGUGCAGGGAGGUAUGUCGGAGGAUAUGGGGGAUCAGAUGGAUGUUGAUCAAAGGAGGGAUGGCAGUUUGGGCGUCAGUAUGUCAGAAGAGGGUAUGGGAGAAUCCCAAGGAGGCACUCAGGCCUCGGGANNNNN
rnacentral:lncRNA from 1 species